UACGUAGGGUGCGAGCGUUAAUCGGAAUUACUGGGCGUAAAGCGUGCGUAGGCGGUUCCUCAAGUCCGUUGUGAAAGCCCCGGGCUCAACCUGGGAAUGGCAGUGGAAACUAGGGGACUGGAAUCUGGCAGAGGGGGGUGGAAUGCCGCGUGUAGCAGUGAAAUGCGUAGAGAUGCGGCGGAACACCGGUGGCGAAGGCGGUUCUCUGGGCCUUACCUGACGCUGAGGAGCGAAAGCGUGGGGAGCAAACAGG
rnacentral:rRNA from 1 species